AGGCCCGUAGCUUAAUUGGCAAAGCCAGAACUGAAAAUCAUUGCGAUUUACCAUUCAUCUACCAAUGCAGGUUCGAACCCUGCCGGGUCUA